AGUUUGAUCAUGGCUCAGAUUGAACGCUGGCGGGAUGUUUGUAUACAUGCAAGUCGAACGCAGCACGGACUCGGUCUGGUGGCGAGUGGCGAACGGGUGAGUAAUGUAUCGGAACGUGUCAGUAGUGGGGGAUAACUACGCGAAAGUAGCUACGCUCGUAUACGCCCUUCGGGGGAAAGUGGGGACCUUCUGGCCUGCACUAUUAGAGCGGCCGAUAUCGGAUUAGCUAGUUGGUGGGGUAACGGCUCACCAAGGUGACGAUCCGUAGCUGGUUUGAGAGGACAGACCAGCCGCCACCGACUGAGACACGGCCCAGACUCCCACGGAGGCAGGGGGAAUUUUGGACAAUGGGGGAAAUCCUGAUCCAGCCAUCCUGCAGGGCGAUGAAGGCCUUCGGGUUGUAAAGCACUUUUGGCAGGGAAGAAACGGCACUGUGAUAAUACCCCGUGCAACUGACGGUACCUGCAACAGCAACUGCUAACUACGUGCCAGCAGCCGCGGUACGUAGGGUGCAGCAAGCGACCGGAAUUACCGGGCGUAAAGCGCGCAGGCGGUUCGAAAAAGAAAGAUGUGAAAUCCCAGAGCUUAACUUCAAUCCCAUUUUAACUACCGAAAGCUAGAGGUGUCAGAGGGAGGUGGAAUUCCGCGUGUAGCAGUGAAAUGCGUAGAUAUGGAGGAACACCGAUGGCGAAGGCAGCCUCCUGGGAUAACACUGACGCUCGCGCACGAAAGUGGGGAGCAACAGGAUUAGAUACCCUGGUAAAUCACGCCUCUAAACGAUGUCAACUAGCUGUUGGGGCCGGCCUUGGUAGCGCAGCUAACGCGUGAAGUUGGACCGGCCUGGGGAGUACGGUCGCAAGAUUAAAAAACCUCAAAGGAAUUGACGGGGACUCCGCACAAGCGGUGGAUGAUGUGGAUUAAUUCGAUGCAACGCGAAAACCUUAUCGCCCUUGACAUGUCUGGAAUCCCGAAGAGAUUUGGGAGUGCUCGCAAGAGAACCGGAACACAGGUGCUGUAAGCGCCAGUUGCCGUCAGCUCGUGUCGUGAGAUGCUGGGUCCUCCGCAACGAGCGCGGCCUUUGUCAUUAGUUGCUGUCAGAAAGCGCACUCUAAUGAGACUGCCGGUGACAAACCGGAGGAAGGUGGGGAUGACGUCAAGUCCUCAUGGCCCUUAUGCGGGUAGGGCUUCACACGUCAUACAAUGGUCGGGACAGAGGGUCGCGCCAACCCGCGAGGAGCCAAUCCCAGAAACCCGAUCGUAGUCCGGAUCGCAGUCUGCAACUCGACUGCGAAGUCGGAAUCGCCAGCAAUCGCGGAUCAGCAUGUCGCGGUGAAUACGUUCCCGGGUCUUGUACACACCGCCCGUCACACCAUGGGAGUGGGUUUUACCAGAAGUAGUUAGCCUAACCGUAAGGAGGGCGAUUACCACGGUAGGAUUCAUGACUGGGGUGAAGUCGUAAAAUAAGGUAA
rnacentral:rRNA from 1 species